GUAAUGAAAACUAUCCAGCUCUGAAAAUAUUUGACGCACUAACCGCUUGGGAAAGCAGAGGAUGAGGAAGACCUCCACUCCGUUGGAAAUGACAGUUUCCCACCUAAAGAAGAUUUUCCGAAGUAAUAAGCCUCACUACAACAACUGUGAACAUUAACAACAUCAAAGUAUUUUUCACACAACAAAACCAUGUAACACUGUUUACUACCAAUCAAAUUCCUCUCAUUCUCUCUAAAAAAUUAUAUAUACAUAUUUUUACUUCAUCACUCUCCCAGUCUCUAAAUAACGCACACUCUCUCUGGUUAACAUUGACUCGUGCUACUACUACUCAGCACUACUCUCACACCAGUAUACGCUCUCCGCUCUUUCUCUCAGUUAUCCUUUGCGCUUGUUAGCCGGAACUAAAGCUUUUACAUAAUCUGCGAAGCAUGAUGACGUCAAAUAGCUCCAAAAUAUUUCAUGCGCAUCAUCACGACACUCAUUCCGCAAUCUGUGUGGCCUUCCGCGACUGUUUGGUUUGGCUGCUUCGUGUUCAUACCGUUGCCGUUAUUGUUAUUGUUAUUGUUGUUGCUCGGUAGAGUCCUUGUACGAAGGGUAACGAAUGGUUUGUUUUUGUUGCCGCUGAAUUUUCCUCAAUGUUGUGACGUCAGACGAAUUUAGAUACGUCAAAUGGCGCUGACUUACGUCGUUGUUGUUUGCCAACGUUGGCAAUAUUCUACAGCAACGCCUAUGAGCAGCGCACUC